rnacentral:rRNA from 1 species
UACGAAGGGUGCAAACGUUGCUCGGAAUCAUUGGGCGUAAAGCGCACGUAGGCGGCCUUGUAAGUCGGAUGUGAAAUCCCACGGCUCAACCGUGGAAGUGCAUCCGAAACUGCGAGGCUCGAGUAUGGAAGAGGGUCGCAGAAUUCCCGGUGUAGAGGUGAAAUUCGUAGAUAUCGAGAGGAACACCUGUGGCGAAGGCGGCCAACUGGACGAGUACUGACGCUGAGACACGAAAGCGUGGGGAGCAAACAGG